AAUACAUUUUUAACUCUGUAUUAUACAUUUAAAGUAGGUAAAUUGCAUGUGGAAAUUUUUUGUAGUAGUUGGGAUUUUUGUCAAAUCUCUAUGGACUAGGUUUGGGGGUGUGGCUCAGCACUAGAGCACCUGCUCAGUUUGAUCCCCAGCACCACCAAAAAAAAAUGAAAAAGUAAAAUCUUUAUGUAUUAAACUCAUUUCUGUGCUAAUAGUGUCUAAAAUCACCAUAUGGUGGUGAUUAGAUAGGUGGUACCUGGGAGAGAGCCAGGGCCAUUUUUAAUUUCAUUUCUUGAUUAGAAUUUGAACACUUUAUUUCCUGGAGAAUAUUAGGAAAUAUAGUCUUUUUCUUUAUGCAUUCAGCCCAUCCACUGGUUAAAACUUUUCAGAGAAUUUUGAUACUUGGUACCCCUAAACAUGUCAUUUUUUUCUUGAGUACUGUGCAGGUUCUCUUUCUAUCCAUAGCACAAAUGUUGUCUUUUCUUUUCCUCUCUCAUCUCUACUUUUUAAGGAAAAACAUUCCUUCUUAAGUAAUUUUAUCAUACACAGAUACAAAAGUGGAUUUGAUAGGUACAUUGAGCUGAACCAUUUUUUCCUCUAUGUGUUAGUUACAUAUGUUUUUCUCAGGUUGCUGCUUAAUGAGCUGCAGUAGCACUGACGAAACGAGGAUCAGCACCACAUCCCUUGUUCUUGUCCCUUACAGCUGGAAGCAGUUACUGAGAGGUUUAACAGUGAGGAAAUGAAGACCAUAAAAAACAGUCCCCUACCUAGCCCAGCAUUUACUUUUCUUACCUACGCUGAUGAAGAUGGCUUUUGAAAGGUGUACUGCAAGGAAAAAAAUGCCAUUGUAAAUUCUGCUCUUAUCAAGGUGGAUAUUGCUAUCCUUUCCUUAUGGAAAAAGUUUUAUUCUUAAUUGUUAUUUCUCAUUAAAUAUUAUCAAAAAGGAGAAAAAUUAAUGUCCUAAACUUUUCAGAUAGAUUUGGCAAUAGUGUGAAUUUUGACACCAUGGCUUCCUUCCUCCCCCAAAAAGGUGAGAGCUGACUAACUCAUGGUCACUUAGACCAUGUGGAGAAGGGAUUAAGACUGGAAGCAGAAAACAGACAUUGUCUGUACAGAGCAAAGUGCCUUACAACAGUUCACUUUAGUAGAGGGCAAUAAGUGCCACAUGAGAUGAUCCCCUCCCCUCAACACAAAACUCCUAGUUACAUCUGACUUACUUGCCUGCUCUUCUGACUUCUGUCUUUUCAUGACUCCUAAAUUAUGGAGGUAUGUGAUGAUUUAAUAUCAAUUUUAGUCAUGUGACAUUCAUUCUAAAAAAAAUUUUUUGGUGGUGAUGGAAUUUGAACUCAGGGCUUUGCACUUGCUAGGCAGGCACUGUACUGUUUGAGUCAUGCCUUCAGCUCCUAAACUAAUAUUUUAAUGUUAUUAAUUGCUAAGCACUCUUAGCAAUUUACUUUUUAUUAGCAAAUAAUAUAUACUCACUUUUGGCUAGGCUAUUUUAUUUUACUGUGCUUAAAUGUAUAGUUUGGUGUAUUCAAUGAAUUAGUGUUCUUAUACAUCUGUAUUUUCUCCUAUUUUGGCAUAGAAUUACCCAAGUAAAUUUUUAAGAGAAAAUACCUGUAAUCUUACCCCUUGAAUCAACUCUUUCAGACUGAAUUAUAUAAAGUAUCUUCAUCCAUCUUUGCAUCUACUCUAAUUCUUGUUUUUCUGCAUAUGUGUUCCCUAAGACUAUAGCUUUCCAAAUGUUUCAGUGGUUCAUUUGAGCCCAUUAGGAACUGAGAAAUGUAGGGGAAUGUAAAGACACAAUCCUAGUUCUUAUCUUCAAAGCACUCAUAGAACCUCAGAUAUCAGUGAGCAGACUUCCUUGAGGUCUUUUAUUACAAAAAGGGUGGGCCAGCUGGUGGGGUGGCUUAAGUGGUAGAGUGCCUGUCUAACAAACAUGAGGCCCUGAGUUCAAGCUCCGGUGCCACUAAAUAAAUAAAUAAAUAAACUACAAGCAAACAAAAACAAAACAGACAUUCUUCUCUUAGAAAUACUAUAGAACUUUGAGAGGUUGGCUCUCUAUGUCUGACGAAUAGCAGAGUGGGCUGGAGGCAUGGUCUGGCUCAAGCUGUGUAGCACCUGCCUAGUAAGUGUGAAGCCCUGAGUUCAAAUCCCAGUACUGCAAAUUUUUAAAAGGUUGGGGGCAUGUAAGAUGAGCUUCUCUACUUAGCUCCUUACUUAGGAACCCAGAGAAGUUCAAGUUCUUUGCAGAAGUGGUGUGAAAUUAUGAGUAAUAUGAAAUUGAAACAGUUUGUAUUUGGUAUGUUUUACCCAACUGAUAAGAUAAAAAGUCAUUUGUUUUAUGAUUUCUGUUUUUGAGGUGUUGGUGCAAAUUCAAAGAUACAGAAAACUGCCCACCUGUAUGUGUUUAGAGAAGUCUUAGGCACACUUUAGUUUUGGAAGCCAAGUCCUAUUUAUUUUGCUGCAUGUUUACUUCAUGUUUUAUUCUUUGAUAUACUAGAUACAUAUUUCCAGUUUUUACCCAUGGAGCAUUUUAGCUUUUUAGCCAUUAAAAGAUUUCAUAGUUAAGGUAAAUAGAUGAAGACAUCCUAAAUGAUGAGUUUUGGUAGAAGUUGUAUGUAGCUUUUCAUCAUUAAAAGCCCAGUAGAAGGCCUUAUACUUCUUGAGUGUAAUUCUGUGGAAAGCUGGUGGGUAAUUGUGUUUUUCUUUACUUGGUUCUUGAUAUUCCAGAAAUCUAAGUAAUUUUAACACUUCUCUUGAUUUCUUGAGAUUUUGGUUAAAAACACUAAGUCCCGAAAUGCUAGUUUAUGCCAUAUUACUCUCUUCUGUGGGUUCUUUGACUCCAGGAAAAUUUCCUAAAUUUCUUUUUGAAAUGUUCCUCUUAGUUGCUUCUACAUUACUAAACUUGCUAAACAUGCUGUUGCAGUCAACUUUCUCAGCACAUAGAAGGUUUAAAACACUCUUGGCAUUUUACCCCAGCACAGUCUCUGAUUGGAUACGUCUCUAGUAGUAUGGCUGUUUCUAUUUUUUAUGAUAGAGUAUCAGUACAGAAACUUUUAACACAAAGCUGAAUAUUGUCAGAUGUAAAUGCUAUAUAAGAGAAAUUAGAAACAGAUUAUGAUUCCCUAAACCAUAUAUUUCUCAAGUUGCUUUCCCUCAACCAUUCAGGCUCCUGAUUUCAGAUGUGCUUUCAAAGCAACCCCAAUUAGUUCCAACUUUACUAUAACCUCAGAACUCUUUGUAAUUAUAACUUAUAUGUUAAAUUCAGGCAUAAAAUUGAGCAUAGAGCUCCUUUUCAAAAAAUAUUUGUAGGAAGAACUUCCAAAAUCACUAGUAAGUGAUUGUGGUUCAAGAAUCAUAAGCUAAAUUCUUUGGUGCCUUGUCAGAAGUGAAACCGUGGGUAAUGGAAAGAAGCUGAAACAAACACAAGUGGGAGACCAGAGAAGACCCAACUAUUUAUUUAUUUUUUUAUUUUUUUGGUGGGACUGUGGUUUGAACUCAGUACUUCACUCUUUUGCAAAGCAGGCACUC